UCAUGCAAGUUCUUUUCCAUAAGCAUAUAUGACUAAAUACGGAAAAAAUGCCUACAUUACAUUGACGAACUGGAGCUAGUUACAUAUCACCCUAUGUUAUAACUGUUACAUGAUGAAUGUCAUCCGACAUAAUUAUCCAUCACCGAUCUAAUGCCUACCAGCUUUUCCUAUACUGGUCCUUGCUAAGUUACUUUACCGCUACUGCUGUCACACUUGCUAUACAAAUUACUACUGUUACCGCCGCUACCGUUACUAUCAUACUACUUUGCUACUGAAACUUUGUUGCAGAUACUAAGUCUUUCAGGUGUGUUUGAAUUGACAACUCAACUGCUAAUACUCGAGAGUAUUCUUUGGCUUCCCUUGUGUUGAAUCAAUAAAUUUGGGUUGAAUACUCUACCCUUGAAAACUGUUGCGAUCCCCUAUACUUAUGGGUUAUCAUUUAUGCGUACCCAAGCGGGUAACCAAACAACAUGCCUAGAGUGACACCUCAUGCAGCCUAAAGUGUACGCAUGUAACCAAACUAAGUGAAGAUGUUAGUUUUGUGCCUGUUUUACCUCAGCCGGGCCUUCUUUAUCCUGGAUUCACGAACCAGUGCCAUCAACUACGCCUACCAAACAUGUCCAUUGUCAACCGCGCUAUCAUGAGUUUCAAAGAAUGUCGUUUCAGCCAAGCGGCCCGAUUUUAAGCAGCCGUGUCCUCAACAGUUCUAGAAUUAUUUACGCCUAGCGGAAGGACACACAGACAAUUAAACAUGUGUCAAACCAAAACUAGACAAUAAAAUAACUAUCAAACUAAACCUCCGCAAGACUUUGUUUUUGAGCAGAUAAAACACACAAGGAGAAACCUGCCAAUAUUUGUUAGCCUAAUCAAUCAUUCUUAUCUUGUACUAGUGUUAUGGUAUUGUAAAUUUGGAAUCUACCUCUUCUAGCUCAUGCGGACAAGCGCCCUCAUCCUUCAACACACGAGCCUUUUGUGGAAUUGAACAAUGCUUUUAUAGACUUACAAGACCCUCAAAAGGUACAUUUGUACAUGUCUUGAAUAUCAUAUGGUUUGCGAAAUGUCCCA
rnacentral:lncRNA from 1 species